rnacentral:rRNA from 1 species
AAGUCGUAACAAGGUUUCCGUAGGUGAACCUGCGGAAGGAUCAUUAUCGAGUACCGAGGCCCCUGUGCCUCUGCUCCCACCCUAUGUUGACCUGCAACGUUGCUUUGGCGGGCCGGCGGGUACACCCGCCGCCGGGCCGCGCCUGGAGAGCGCCCGCCAGAGGACCACGCGAAACUCUUUGCAACUUUGAGCGUCUGAGCACUUUUGAGAAUUGACCAAAACUUUCAACAACGGAUCUCUUGGUUCUGGCAUCGAUGAAGAACGCAGCGAAAUGCGAUAAGUAAUGUGAAUUGCAGAAUUCAGUGAAUCAUCGAAUCUUUGAACGCACAUUGCGCCCCUCGGCACUCCGGGGGGCAUGCCUGUCCGAGCGUCAUUGAAGACUAUCAAGCCCGGCUUGGUCUUGGGCGCGGUCCUGGGACCCGCCCGCAACCCGUCGGCGGUGCCGGUUCGGCCCUGAGCGUAGCAGAGAUACUCGCUCCGGGGCCGCGGCGGCGCCCGCCAGCAAGUUUUUACCUACGGUUUGACCUCGGAUCAGGUAGGGAUACCCGCUGAACUUAAGCAUAUCAAUAAGCGGAGGAAAAGAAACCAACAGGGAUUGCCUCAGUAACGGCGAGUGAAGCGGCAACAGCUCAAAUUUGAAAUCUGGCUCCCGCCCGAGUUGUAAUUUGCAGAGGAUGCUUCGGUGCAGUCCCCGGCCCAAGUCCCUUGGAACAGGGCGCCGCAGAGGGUGAGAGCCCCCCACGCGGCCGGGUGCCUGCUCCGGUGAAGCUCCUUCGACGAGUCGAGUUGUUUGGGAAUGCAGCUCUAACUGGGAGGUAAAUUUCUCCUAAGGCUAAAUACCGGCCAGAGACCGAUAGCGCACAAGUAGAGUGAUCGAAAGAUGAAAAGCACUUUGAAAAGAGAGUUAAAAAGUACGUGAAAUUGUUGAAAGGGAAGCGUUUGCGGCCAGACUUGGCGGCGGUUGCUCAGCCGGUCAUUGCCCGGUGCACUCUUCCGCCGACAGGCCAGCGUCGGUUCGGGCGGUCGGAUAAAGGCGUCGGGAACGUGGCUCUUCGGAGUGUUAUAGCCCUUCGCACAAUGCGGCCCGCCCGGACCGAGGUACGCGUCUUCACGGACGCUGGCGUAAUGGCCGCCAACGGCC